rnacentral:misc_RNA from 1 species
ACAGAGCACAUUGAGUGCCUGACAUACAUCAUGCUGUUCGGCAACGAGGCCCCUUUCCAUCUAAAGCCGAUUCCGUACCGCGGUGUCCGCAAGCACCAGGCAGAGGUGCUGCAGCAUCCGCCCGGCUAUAAACACCCGAUCAUUCCUCUUCCGCCUUGCUCAGCGUUGGAAGUCACAGCAGUACGACCCAGCGGGAGCGGCACCGCAGCGCACUUGUCGCGCUCGUCUGCCUCUCUCUCACCGGCCUCCUCGGUGAAUUCAGGCAGCACUCCUGGGACCUUAUCAUGCACAUCAUCAAACCGCCGGGCAGUGGAUCCCGCUGCUGCUUCUGCACUCUACAGAGUGGCACCACCGAAUCUACUGCAGCAGCAGCAGCACAACCCGCGCAUGCGCCGUGACAGCGGACGGGGCGGCGAUGCCUUUUUAGCGGAUGCAGAGCGACUUGAUCCGGACAUAACGGCCGAUGCUGCUCUUCGUCAGGAGCGCGUGUGCGAGCGCCGAAAGCUUCGUGCAUACCAGCAGGCUCGCCGCGAGCGGGCGGCAUCGCGCGAGGCGACGCUACAAGCCUCCCGCAACGCGGCCUUUGAAGCAGAGUGUAGGCGACUCGCCAACGUAGCUGGCACAGCGCGCAGCAAUCGAGAGCAAGACGACCGUGAUCCUAUCACCCAUCAAUGCUACACAGCGGAGGCGGAGCAGUUGCUGAUGGAUCGCAACUCUCACGUGCGCACCCGCUAUGCCGCACGCCAGCGGUUCCUCGACCGGCAGAUGAACUCAACGGAGUAUAAUAUCCUUACCUGGCAGCUUCGAUAGCACAUGGAGGAUGAGUCGGUGAGGUGCUUGCCGACGCUCUUGAGCUGAUGGCGGAUUGAGGCGGAUGGGGAGGGCUUGCCAUGAUGCUGCCUACGUAGCUUGCUUGCUCUCUCCGACUGUAUUUCGCAACUUCUGAGGUCUUUUUCUGCACACCGUGCAUAGCGCCUUCUCCCUCUCUCUGCCCGGGCCGCCGUCGUUUCUCACCACUGUGGGCCGUUCUGUAGAGGGAGGGACCGGCACUCUUCGAUGUAUAGCCGAGUCAUGUGUCUCUUGUCUGCCUUGUGUGAUCGCACGCUUCGCUUUUGUGUCCGGCAAAGUUUUCCGGCCUCUCUUGCUCCUGUGCCCGCGAGCUCCCUUCCACCCCCCCUCCCCCAAGGGCCGCCUCUCGCCAUACCCUUUAUGCUUGUGCUUGCUUGUGUGUGGAUGUGUCGAUGCCUCGUGUUGCGGCGGAUACGGAGACCGCGAGAGACACAAAGAGGCAUGCAUGGCUCGUUUUCUUUUUGCCCCAUCAGCUC